UGUAAGGAGCAGAAGUGUGAAGC
rnacentral:miRNA from 1 species